GCAUGAGAUCCCAGCCUAAAUAAUGAACUUUAAUGCAUACCUUCAUUUUUGAAAGGGUAAACAUUUAAUCAUUACAAACCUGCAGAAGGCAAUUAAUUCCCUAUGUUGCUCCUGCCAGUCUUUUGUGACAGAUCUACCUGCUUCCACACAAUUGCUGGAUCAAGCUCAGUUGUGGGACCUUUGUAACACACAGCAGGUGGGAUUCAACAUAGCACUAAGUGGAGAAUGCAUGCACAAAACAAGUUCCACUUGAGGAACAAGAUUUUCCUGACUUUCCUCCCUCCACGAACCUCCGAAAAUGUUCUGGGGGUUCCCGCCAGUAAGGAUCCUACCCAGUAAAAUUAGUUAAGUAUGGUCAAAGACCAGAAAGAAGAAACAGUUUUAGCCUGCAUGUUCUCCCAUGUGCCUUCUCCAACUAAGCAAAUAUUACUGAGAUUUGGAGGUGGCUCAAUCAAUAACAGUACAACAUGGAUAAAAUGAAGCCUGAUUGUAUAAUUCAGGCUUUCAGAUAAGCCUCACCCUCUCCUGGCUGUGUUAAUAAUUUGCUAAAGUACAAACAGAUAUUAGACAUUACACACUUUCUCUUUGCACAAUUAAGGAGGUCUUCCCAGCAGACAGGUUCUAAAAAGGCAACUACAUACAGCUUAAGGGCCUGGCAAUGAUGUCCACUUCAAUACAAACUGCUUCUCAAGACAUUCUAAAACAUCUGGAAACUCGGAUUCUGUCAGAUGACUGGGCUCUUGGGGGACUGGUAGUAAUAGCUUCAUUUGUCAUGGUUAUCAUUGCACUCCUGUUGUUUGCUGCCAUCUUUGGCUGCUGCUCAACUCCAAGGAAUAAAUCUGGCCCCAUAUAAAACAGCAAGAGCAGCCUUGUCUGUGGAAUCUGAAGAAUGCUGAAGUGGGACCAAGAAGGGGGAAGUAUUGUUGCUUCCUGACACCCCUGUUUCACAUGUACAAGUGAACAUACUACAGAGGAAAUUUGGCACUGUUCAAAGGUACACAACCAGCUUCCACACAAGGCCUGACACCAAAUGAAAUCAGCAUUAAAGAAGCAUGUGCCCGAGCAGGUCUGAUUCACAACUAACUACUUCUAGCAAAGGAAGUGACAAAAAAUUGUUUAAGAAAUAGCUGACAUGAAAGAAUUUGAAAAUUCAAAGACUGUUCAGUUUUCCUUGAAAUUGUACAUUUGUCUUUCUUUUUUUGCAACCAGUAUAAGUAUAGAUAACCUAAUCAAUAGUGAAACUAAAUGAGACUAAA